CAGCAGCAGCCGCGGGAAUACGAAGGGUGCAAGCGUUACUCGGAAUUACUGGGCGUAAGGCGUGCGUAGGUGGUGGUUUAAGUCCGUUGUGAAAGCCCUGGGCUCAACCUGGGAAUUGCAGUGGAUACUGGAUCACUAGAGUGUGGUAGAGGAUAGUGGAAUUUCCGGUGUAGCAGUGAAAUGCGUAGAGAUCGGAAGGAACAUCUGUGGCGAAGGCGACUAUCUGGGCCAACACUGACACUGAGGCACGAAAGCGUGGGGAGCAAACAGGAUUAGAUACCCCCGUAGUCCCUGUCUCUUAUAC
rnacentral:rRNA from 1 species